GUUGUUUGUUUUGCUCGACUCUAUGCUCUGUUUACCUGGGGUCUCAUAAGUGGCAAUAAAAUAUAGCAACCCAGAUGCUUUUUUGUAGGUGCUUAUCAGCACUCGGAGUUCCGUUCGUCAGACGAUUCCCAGACCUAAUCAGACCAGCCCCACGAUUACGCAACAGCAUGGAACUUUUUCACUCAAUACGAUACGUCUUUAAUAUAUGUCGUACACCACGGAGAAGUCCUUGUUGCCCAGACCCUUAUCGCACAGCGACUGGUAGACCUUGUGCGCCAGAGAUCCCAGCGGGAUGGGUGAGUUGGAAGCGUUGGCCACUCCGGAGGCCAGACCCAGAUCCUUGGUGAUCAGAGCCGAGGAGAAACCGCCGGCGUAGUCCCUGUUGGCUGGGGCACUGGGGCAGACUCCGGGCACAGGGUUGUAGAUCUCCGAGGCCCAGCAGCGUCCGGUGGAGGAGUUGAUGAUCUCGGCGAAGACAUUGGCAUCGAGACCCUGGCGCACCGCCAGAUUCAUGGCCUCCGAAACACCGAUCAUCGAGAUGGCCAGCAUCAUGUUGUUGCACAGCUUGGCGGCCUGGCCCAUGCCAUAGACGCCGCAGUGGGUGAUCUUCUUGCCCAUGCACUCUAGGACGGCCUUGACGGCAUUGUACUCCGCCUCGGUGCCGCCCACCAUGAAGGUGAGGGUGGCCUGCUCGGCGCCGGGAACUCCGCCGGAAACGGGGGCAUCGAUAAACCGAGCUCCCUUGGCGCUGAUCUUCUUCUGCAACGACUUGACCAAAUCCGGCGAGAUCGUCGACGAGUCAAUGAAGAUGGUGUCCUUGUUGACGCCAUCGGCAGUCAUCUCAUCGUAGGAGGCAUCCACAAUGGCAUUGUUCGGCAGCAUGGUGAUCACAAAGUCCGAGUUCUUGGCCAGCUCCGAGGUCUUGGCGUAGACGGUGGCUCCCUUGGCGGCCAGACCAUCGCAGGCGGGCUUGGAGAUAUCGAAGACAUGCAGCUUGUGGCCGGCCUUGAUUAGAUUGCUGGCCAUGUUGGCACCCAUGUUGCCCAGACCCACGAAGCCGAUGUUCUUGGCUCCGCCCUGGGUGGACAUGGCCCUCACGAGGGUCUGGCUCCAGGCAUUCAGCAUAGCGGGGGACAUCACACGGAGCGACAUGUCUGCGAAAAGUUCUACAGUGUUAUGUAAUCACUUCAAAUAGGCAACUAGCCACCAGAUUUCACCCACCUGUUGGUGUAAGAAAUCUAAGGGGAUACGGCUGAAACUGCAAAAGUUCUACGUGAUCGGACCGCUGUCAGAAGCACACUGCUCCCUGCUGUUGGAAGGUCGCUUAUUUUCAGCUCAUUCCAGCGGCCGCUCGAGGGUUGUCGGCUACACUAAUUAAUAUUAAUUAAUUAAUACAUUGAAUUAAUAUAGUAAAACCAUUUCCAAACAAAUCUUUAUAUCUAUUAAUUAUUUAUUUAUUUAUUUGGAAAAGUUCGAUAUGUUAAACAAUAAGUA
ensembl:ncRNA asRNA:CR43964 antisense RNA:CR43964